GGGUUGUGAGGUUAAGCGACUAAGCGUACACGGUGGAUGCCCUGGCAGUCAGAGGCGAUGAAGGACGUGCUAAUCUGCGAAAAGCGUCGGUAAGGUGAUAUGAACCGUUAUAACCGGCGAUGUCCGAAUGGGGAAACCCAGUGCAAUUCGUUGCACUAUCGUUAACUGAAUACAUAGGUUAACGAGGCGAACCGGGGGAACUGAAACAUCUAAGUACCCCGAGGAAAAGAAAUCAACCGAGAUUCCCCCAGUAGCGGCGAGCGAACGGGGAGCAGCCCAGAGUCUGAAUCAGCUUGUGUGUUAGUGGAACGGUCUGGAAAGUCCGACGGUACAGGGUGAUAGUCCCGUACACCAAAAUGCACAGGUUGUGAACUCGAAGAGUAGGGCGGGACACGUGGUAUCCUGUCUGAAUAUGGGGGGACCAUCCUCCAAGGCUAAAUACUCCUGACUGACCGAUAGUGAACCAGUACCGUGAGGGAAAGGCGAAAAGAACCCCGGCGAGGGGAGUGAAAAAGAACCUGAAACCGUGUACGUACAAGCAGUGGGAGCACCUUCGGGUGUGACUGCGUACCUUUUGUAUAAUGGGUCAGCGACUUAUAUUCUGUAGCAAGGUUAACCGUAUAGGGGAGCCGCAGGGAAACCGAGUCUUAACUGGGCGUUAAGUUGCAGGGUAUAGACCCGAAACCCGGUGAUCUAGCCAUGGGCAGGUUGAAGGUUGGGUAACACUAACUGGAGGACCGAACCGACUAAUGUUGAAAAAUUAGCGGAUGACUUGUGGCUGGGGGUGAAAGGCCAAUCAAACCGGGAGAUAGCUGGUUCUCCCCGAAAGCUAUUUAGGUAGCGCCUCGUGAAUUCAUCUCCGGGGGUAGAGCACUGUUUCGGCUAGGGGGUCAUCCCGACUUACCAACCCGAUGCAAACUACGAAUACCGAAGAAUGUUAUCACGGGAGACACACGGCGGGUGCUAACGUCCGUCGUGAAGAGGGAAACAACCCAGACCGCCAGCUAAGGUCCCAAAGUCAUGGUUAAGUGGGAAACGAUGUGGGAAGGCACAGACAGCCAGGAUGUUGGCUUAGAAGCAGCCAUCAUUUAAAGAAAGCGUAAUAGCUCACUGGUCGAGUCGGCCUGCGCGGAAGAUGUAACGGGGCUAAACCAUGCACCGAAGCUGCGGCAGCGACACUAUGUGUUGUUGGGUAGGGGAGCGUUCUGUAAGCCUGCGAAGGUGUGCUGUGAGGCAUGCUGGAGGUAUCAGAAGUGCGAAUGCUGACAUAAGUAACGAUAAAGCGGGUGAAAAGCCCGCUCGCCGGAAGACCAAGGGUUCCUGUCCAACGUUAAUCGGGGCAGGGUGAGUCGACCCCUAAGGCGAGGCCGAAAGGCGUAGUCGAUGGGAAACAGGUUAAUAUUCCUGUACUUGGUGUUACUGCGAAGGGGGGACGGAGAAGGCUAUGUUAGCCGGGCGACGGUUGUCCCGGUUUAAGCAUGUAGGCUGGUUGUCCAGGCAAAUCCGGAUAAUCAAGGCUGAGGUGUGAUGACGAGGCACUACGGUGCUGAAGUAACAAAUGCCCUGCUUCCAGGAAAAGCCUCUAAGCAUCAGGUAACAUCAAAUCGUACCCCAAACCGACACAGGUGGUCAGGUAGAGAAUACCAAGGCGCUUGAGAGAACUCGGGUGAAGGAACUAGGCAAAAUGGUGCCGUAACUUCGGGAGAAGGCACGCUGGUGUGUAGGUGAAGCCCCUGCGGGUGGAGCUGAGACCAGUCGAAGAUACCAGCUGGCUGCAACUGUUUAUUAAAAACACAGCACUGUGCAAACACGAAAGUGGACGUAUACGGUGUGACGCCUGCCCGGUGCCGGAAGGUUAAUUGAUGGGGUUAUCCGUAAGGAGAAGCUCUUGAUCGAAGCCCCGGUAAACGGCGGCCGUAACUAUAACGGUCCUAAGGUAGCGAAAUUCCUUGUCGGGUAAGUUCCGACCUGCACGAAUGGCGUAAUGAUGGCCAGGCUGUCUCCACCCGAGACUCAGUGAAAUUGAACUCGCUGUGAAGAUGCAGUGUACCCGCGGCAAGACGGAAAGACCCCGUGAACCUUUACUAUAGCUUGACACUGAACAUUGAGCCUUGAUGUGUAGGAUAGGUGGGAGGCUUUGAAGCGUGGACGCCAGUCUGCGUGGAGCCAACCUUGAAAUACCACCCUUUAAUGUUUGAUGUUCUAACGUUGGCCCCUGACCGGGGUUGCGGACAGUGUCUGGUGGGUAGUUUGACUGGGGCGGUCUCCUCCCAAAGCGUAACGGAGGAGCACGAAGGUUAGCUAAUCCUGGUCGGACAUCAGGAGGUUAGUGCAAUGGCAUAAGCUAGCUUGACUGCGAGCGUGACGGCGCGAGCAGGUGCGAAAGCAGGUCAUAGUGAUCCGGUGGUUCUGAAUGGAAGGGCCAUCGCUCAACGGAUAAAAGGUACUCCGGGGAUAACAGGCUGAUACCGCCCAAGAGUUCAUAUCGACGGCGGUGUUUGGCACCUCGAUGUCGGCUCAUCACAUCCUGGGGCUGAAGUAGGUCCCAAGGGUAUGGCUGUUCGCCAUUUAAAGUGGUACGCGAGCUGGGUUUAGAACGUCGUGAGACAGUUCGGUCCCUAUCUGCCGUGGGCGCUGGAGAAUUGAGGGGGGCUGCUCCUAGUACGAGAGGACCGGAGUGGACGCAUCACUGGUGUUCGGGUUGUCAUGCCAAUGGCACUGCCCGGUAGCUAAAUGCGGAAGAGAUAAGUGCUGAAAGCAUCUAAGCACGAAACUUGCCCCGAGAUGAGUUCUCCCUGAGACUUUAAGUCUCCUGAAGGAACGUUAAAGACGAUGACGUUGAUAGGCCGGGUGUGUAAGCGCAGCGAUGCGUUGAGCUAACCGGUACUAAUGAACCGUGAGGCUUAACCUUACAACGCCGAAG
rnacentral:rRNA from 1 species